rnacentral:rRNA from 1 species
GUAGGGAAUCUUCCACAAUGGACGAAAGUCUGAUGGAGCAACGCCGCGUGAAUGAAGAAGGCCUUCGGGUCGUAAAAUUCUGUUGUCAGAGAAGAACGUGCGUGAGAGUAACUGUUCACGUUUCGACGGUAUCUAACCAGAAAGCCACGGCUAACUACGUGCCAGCAGCCGCGGUAAUACGUAGGUGGCAAGCGUUAUCCGGAUUUAUUGGGCGUAAAGGGAACGCAGGCGGUCUUUUAAGUCUGAUGUGAAAGCCUUCGGCUUAACCGGAGUAGUGCAUUGGAAACUGGGAGACUUGAGUGCAGAAGAGGAGAGUGGAACUCCAUGUGUAGCGGUGAAAUGCGUAGAUAUAUGGAAGAACACCAGUGGCGAAAGCGGCUCUCUGGUCUGUAACUGACGCUGAGGUUCGAAAGCGUGGGUAGCAAACAGGAUUAGAUACCCUGGUAGUCC